AUGCGCGGUGCCCCCGCGCGCCGCGGCCGCGUCCAGCCCAGGCCCGGGGCAGGCGAGCGGGGCUCCCAGCGCCCUGCUCUGCGCAGCUCGCGGCGCCGCCACCACCGGGCGACAGUGCUGCAGGCCGUCCUCGCUGCGCCGAGCCGCCCGCCCACCGGCCCACGAGGGCUGCCCCGGCCCCGGCCCCCGCAGCGAGGCCUCCAGGCCGCUCCCUCCGCCUCCCUCCGCCUCCCUCCGCCUCCCUCCCGGGCCGGAAGCCAGACUUGGCCGCCAGAGGGAGCCGGCAGUGGCCGGUGCAGGGACCGCCUCCGAGCAGCCGCGGGCUGCAGGAGGGCCCGGGCGCGCGAGGCCCAGGGCGGGUGGGACGCCGGCACUUGCUGCCCCCGGGCCAGCGGGAGGCAUCCGAGGCCAGCUUUGAAGGCACCCGUUGGUAUCAAUGCUCAAGACAAUUGCAAAAGCAAAAAAAAAAAAAAAGAAAGAAAGAAAAAGAAAACAGAAGAGCCCCGCUUGGGCCUCCACCCAGGCCGGGUUUGGCUGGCGGGGCCACCCGGCGCAUCUGGGUUGUUUUUCCAGGGCAGCUGCAAGGAUCCAGAGAGGGGGGGGUGCAGGGAGAGCAGGAGCUCUGGGUCACCCCUCCUGGUGGACCCCGGCCGCGGGGCGGCCACCGCUCGCUCCCGGCCAGGCCCUGCCGUGCGUGGCGCGUGGAGAGCGGCGCCCGGCAGGAGCCACCGGGCCCCACGCGGGCAUCUCCAAACCAGGCUUUGUUCCCGAGAGCACUGGUCCCUGGUGUCCCGCACACUUCCCCCAUCUUGCGGCCCAGCUCUUGAGCCCACUUUCUCCCGGGAGGAGAGCGGGCCCGGCUGCAGCGGCCUCCGCUCGGACGGCCCCCCGCCUCCAGGCAGCGCAGGCGGCGCGCGGAGCGGCCCGGUGCCCCGCCACCUGCGCCCCGCCCGCAGCCCCGGGUACCUCUGCACUGUCCCGCGGGGUCGAGUCGCUGCGGCCGCCGCAGACCGGGCACGCGACCCGGAUCACAGCUUCCCGCGCGCGGCGCGCCUCCGGCUACCCUGGGGCUGGCGUCUCUCGUCCCAUUGGAGCGCGCGGGGACAGCGCCCUGGACGGCUGCGCCCGGCGGCCGGUUGUCAGAUAUCAUGGACAACACCUUCCUUUCAUCGUUUUAUACCUGCCCUCUGCACGUGCGGAGGCUGUGGGGACGAUUUGUUUUAA
rnacentral:lncRNA from 1 species